rnacentral:antisense_RNA from 1 species
GUCAAUGGGCGGACCGUGAGAGGGAAACCUUCGGGUUCGCCGGUUUGGUUCAGCGCCGGAUUUGCAGCCCUGUCAUGCGCCCGCUCACCCUU